UACCUGGCUCAGGAUAAACGCUGGCGGCGCACAUAAGACAUGCAAGUCGAACGAACUUAAUACCUUGCUUGCAAGGUAAGCGGUUAGUGGCGGACUGGUGAGUAACACGUAAGAAAUCUGCCUAUCAGAGGGGAAUAACAGUGAGAAAUCACUGCUAAUACCGCAUAUGCCAUAGUCAUCGCAUGAUGAUAGUGGGAAAGAAGCAAUUCGCUGAUAGAUGAGCUUGCGGCUGAUUAGCUAGUUGGUGGGGUAACGGCCUACCAAGGCGACGAUCAGUAGCCGGACUGAGAGGUUGAACGGCCACAUUGGGACUGAGAUACGGCCCAGACUCCUACGGGAGGCAGCAGUCGGGAAUAUUGCGCAAUGGAGGCAACUCUGACGCAGUGACGCCGCGUAUAGGAAGAAGGUUUUCGGAUUGUAAACUAUUGUCCUCAGGGAAGAAAAAAGACUGUACCUGAGAAGAAAGCUCCGGCUAACUACGUG
rnacentral:rRNA from 1 species